UCCUGGUUAGCUCAGUUGGUAGAGCGCUCCCUGGAAAUGGAGGUGUUCCUGGUGCAAAACCAGGACCAAGCG
rnacentral:tRNA from 1 species